ACACGCAUGACACACUGCAUAUCAAUAAGCGGAGGAAAAGAAACUAACAAGGAUUCCCUUAGUAACGGCGAGUGAAGCGGGAAGAGCUCAAAUUUGAAAUCUUCAAGGUUCUACCUUGACGAAUUGUAGUUUAUAGAAGUGUUUUCUGUUAGUGGAGUGGCAAAAGUUCUUUGGAAUAGGACAUCAUAGAGGGUGAGAAUCCCGUAUUUGGUCAUUCCUCCUAGCGUUGUGAUACACUUUCAACGAGUCGGAUUGUUUGGGAAUGCAGUCCAAAAUGGGUGGUAAAUUUCAUCUAAAGCUAAAUAUUGGCGAGAGACCGAUAGCGAACAAGUACCGUGAGGGAAAGAUGAAAAGAACUUUGAAAAGAGAGUUAAACAGUACGUGAAAUUGUCAAAAGGGAAGCGUUUGACACCAGUGUUGUUUAGUUGAAAAUCAAUUCAAUAAUUUUUGAUUUUAAGUAGUAUUGACUUCAUCAGCUUGCUGCUUUCUUUUCAGGAAUUAUUGAAUGCACUUUUCAGUUAACAAGUCAACAUCAAUUUCUUUUGUUGUAAAAGGGUAAUGAGGAAGGUGGCUUGCGCUUUCGGAUAAAGUGUUUAUAGCCUUUUACCUCUGCAGUCGGAGAGAUUGAGGUCUGCAGCGUAGAUCCUUCGGGGUUAGAUACAUUUGUGCUAAGUUAUAGCUUUUCAUAGACAACUUGUUGACUAUGUUUAGUCUUGUAGCUACUCGCUUAUGCUAUUUUACCUACGCUUAGGAUGUUGAGCGCAUGUCUCUCUCU
rnacentral:rRNA from 1 species